UGGGAUGUCUGAUGGAGCGGAAUGGCUCUUUAUCCCGUCAAUCUAGGAGAAGCUCGAAUAUUUUCGAGAUUACUGACGAGUCUACUGUUGCCGGAUGCCUCAGGCGUUGAUGCUACAGGUGGGAGUCAUCUGCUGUAGAAGCUCGAAUGGAGACUUUCUGUUGGUGAAGUCCGAUAGGAGUCUGAUUGCUAGAGAAGUCCGUCUGAGAUUUACCUGAUGUGGAAGCUCGUCUGAAGAUUAUCCACCGGAGAAGUCCGGUUUCAUGAAGAAUCUGGUGGAGGGUCGACCGGUGGUGGACUUCGGACAGCGUUGGGGAGGUUUGGCAGAUACCAGAGACGAU
rnacentral:lncRNA from 1 species